rnacentral:rRNA from 1 species
UAGGGAAUCUUCGGCAAUGGGGGCAACCCUGACCGAGCAACGCCGCGUGAGUGAAGAAGGUUUUCGGAUCGUAAAGCUCUGUUGUAAGAGAAGAACGUGUGUGAGAGUGGAAAGUUCACACAGUGACGGUAACUUACCAGAAAGGGACGUCUAACUACGUGCCAGCAGCCGCGGUAAUACGUAGGUCCCGAGCGUUGUCCGGAUUUAUUGGGCGUAAAGCGAGCGCAGGCGGUUUAAUAAGUCUGAAGUUAAAGGCAGUGGCUUAACCAUUGUUCGCUUUGGAAACUGUUAAACUUGAGUGCAGAAGGGGAGAGUGGAAUUCCAUGUGUAGCGGUGAAAUGCGUAGAUAUAUGGAGGAACACCGGUGGCGAAAGCGGCUCUCUGGUCUGUAACUGACGCUGAGGCUCGAAAGCGUGGGGAGCAAACAGG